AUCAGUCUCCCCGCGGCGGGGAAGCAGUUCGUGUGUGCGAUUCCGCGUCGGCUCGCCCCGCGGCCUCCGACCGCUCUGCGUCGCAAACGAAUAUUUUUAGAUAGCGCGAAUAAUUUAUUCGUAAGUCGGUGAUCGCGCGCACUUUUGCGGAUACCGGAAUCGACGCAUGCGGGUCCGUGCAUUUCGUUCGCCGCAAGGAGGCAGCCGGUGGAGACGUCCCGAUAGAAUCGAUGCGAAAUAUUGCGAUGUAGAGAAAACUGGAUUUGUUUCUUGUAAAGAAAAUCCAACAAAGCUGCACUGAUAUAGUGAUUCGGGAGGCGCGAGGCGGGCGAGGAACGAUGGUGUGCGAGAUGAGGCUGAGUCAGCAUGAUGUCAUAUGGUAUGCAGAUAAUUGGAGCGUCCCGGCGCACGUCACAUCCCAUUCCCGCCGCAUACUUCACCCAAUCGAGUGAUGACAAAUCCAUUCACAUUAGCGACUCUAUUGUGCGUAACUGGUCUGUUUAGAAUUAAUUUCUCCCAUACUGUAACGCUAUAUUUGUAUUUAAUUUAUAAUGAUGUUGCUGUAAGUUAGUUUUAGGCAAUUUAAAUAAGUGACAGAAACAAAUGAAGACUAACGACAAACGAAGUUAUGCGUAAGAAGAAGAAAAGAAGACAAAGAAGAAGAAAGGAAUUACGAAACUGGUUUUCAUAAUGGUUUGACAGAUUGUUUUAUAUUCUGAGAUCAUUGUGAAAGCUGAUUUUGUUCCUAAGUCGAUACAGAAAACAUCUAGACAGCCAUAUCAGAAGACGCAAGAUGCAACAAGAAAACUUCUACUGAAUUUUUUUUGAAAUUUUUGUUGUGUUUAUUAUGUAAUUGUAUUUUAAUUUUAACUAAAUAUUAUGUGAUUAAUUUUGCAGUGCA